UUCCCGACCCAGGGAUCGAAUCCAGGUCUCCUGCAUUGCAGGCGGAUUCUCUUUACCAGCUAAGCCACAAGGGA
rnacentral:tRNA from 1 species